rnacentral:rRNA from 1 species
GACGUAGGGGGCGAGCGUUGUCCGGAUUUAUUGGGCGUAAGGAGCGCGUAGGCGGCCCGGAAAGUCGGAUGUGAAAACCCGGGGCUCAACCCCGGGCCUGCAUCCGAUACUCCCGGGCUGGAGGCAGGUAGGGGAGAUCGGAAUUCCUGGUGUAGCGGUGAAAUGCGCAGAUAUCAGGAGGAACACCGGUGGCGAAGGCGGAUCUCUGGGCCUGUCCUGACGCUGAGGCGCGAAAGCUAGGGGAGCGAACAGG